rnacentral:rRNA from 1 species
GGGAAACUCACCAGGUCCAGACACAAGUAGGAUUGACAGAUUGAGAGCUCUUUCUUGAUUUUGUGGGUGGUGGUGCAUGGCCGUUCUUAGUUGGUGGAGUGAUUUGUCAGCUUAAUUGCGAUAACGAACGAGACCUUAACCUACUAACUAGCCCGUAUCGCUCCGGCGGUACGCUGGCUUCUUAGAGGGACUAUCGGCUCAAGCCGAUGGAAGUUUGAGGCAAUAA